rnacentral:rRNA from 1 species
CCUACGGGUGGCAGCAGUGGGGGAUAUUGCACAAUGGGGGGAACCCUGAUGCAGCGACGCCGCGUGGGUGAAGGAGCGUUUCGGCGCGUAAAGCCCUAUCUGCAGGGAAGAAAAUGACGGUACCUGACCAAGAAGCCCCGGCUAACUACGUGCCGGCAGGCGCGGUAAUACGGAGGGGGCGGGCGUUAUCCGGAUUGACUGGGUGUAAAGGGGGCGCAGACGGAAAAACAAGCGAGGAGUGAAAGCCCGGGGCACAACCCCGGGACUGCUCUUGGAACUGGAUGGCUGGAGUACAGGAGGGGCAGGCGGAAUUCCUAGUGUAGCGGUGAAAUGCGUAGAGAUUAGGAGGAACACCGGUGGCGAAGGCGGCCUGCUGGACUGUGACUGACGUUGAGGCCCGAAGGCGUGGGGAGCAAACAGGAUUAGAUACCCUUGUAGUC